AUGCACAAGAGAGUAGUGUCGCUUGCUUCUUUAUUUAUCUCCAUCUUACAUGCAGAGAGGGACAAUACAUUUGGUUUCAAGAGAAGGCUAAAAAACAGAGUAUCUAUGGACAAGGGAAGUUGUUCACCCCACUCCAGGGGCAAGGAAAUGCUAGCAAGGGCCGCCCACCUGAUGAAAUUGGUGUUUCGAACAUCUCCAGCUGAGGAUCAAGUCCCAGGUUUCCUUCACAAUGUGAAGGUUAUCGUCUGCAGCCUCGCCAGACGACUCCAAAGGGCUGGAGACGAUGACCUUGUGCGCAUGAUGCUUGCCUUCAGCUGCUGGAGGUUGUCAAGUAGGAGAACUAGGCGCCUGCAUGGCGUGAAGAUGCGCGUCACCGGGAGGAUCCAGAUCCCCAAUUCAAGAAGUGUCAGCAUUGUUGGUUGA
rnacentral:rRNA from 1 species